rnacentral:pre_miRNA from 1 species
AAAAAGACAAAUCCUAGGUUUUCGUGUUCAACUUUAACUGUUCGUCUUAUAUAAAAUUUUUUUAUAAUUCGUAUUUUUAUUGUUGUUAGAUGAUAAAACAUGAUUAAUAUUUUAUGUGUGAAUUGUUUUUUUAAUUUUUUCAUAUAAAACGGACGGUUAAACGUUGGACACGGAAACC